rnacentral:tRNA from 1 species
CGGGGAGUAGCUCAGCCUGGCAGAGCGCCAGCUUUGGGAGCUGGAUGUCGCAGGUUCGAAUCCUGUCUCCCCGA